GCAGUCACCAACCUAUCAGUUCGGUUCACUCCCCUAUUUAUACCUGCCUCUGUCUCCUGCACUCUGCCAGAUCAUUCUUUUCCAUGCCUAUUGGUGAGUCUUGUCCAGCAUUCCCCGUACUCUGUUUGCCUGUAGACCUGACCCUACCUGAUCCUGAUUUUCCUGCUCUGUUCUGAUAGCUUACCUGUUUACCGACCUAAGUGUAACCCCUGUUUCCUGAGGGUAUUUUAUUUUUUGGGCCAACUUCCUUCUGAGGUUGCUUCCUUUAUUUCAUGGGGCUACAACGCGUCACUUCCUCUUCCUCCACUGUGGCUGUGGCAAGGAUCUGUUGGAGACCAAACAAUUCAACCAUUUGGAUAAUCUCUGCAGUUUAAAAAAUAUUUCAGCGGUCAGGUUUUUUAUGGACUGAAUGAAUUCAAGAUGGCGAGCUACCCUGAACUACCUGUGUGGUAGUUACGACCCCUGCCUGUAUUUUCCUCUGGAAUCUUGGAGGGGACUUUGCAUUUUUUUUGGACUGUGUUAUUUUUCCUUUCCAUCACGUGGAUCCUGGACAGUUCCCUUUUUUUCUUUCUCCUGUUUAAAAAGACUGCAUUAUUUUCCCCUUUUCUGUGUUUUUUUUUUCUUUGGGGAAAGGAAAUUUAGAAAAUUUAAUUGAAUUAAUUUCAUUAACAAUGGAAUACAAGUCUACAAUGACCCUGUAAAUUUGUGGUUAUUUUGUAUGUUUUUCCCUUAUGUUUAUUGUUAAUAUUUAAUAUAAUUUCAAUUGAAAUCUUAUACUUUCGUCCUGGUUUUCAUUUACACAUCAGGCUCCUCAAAGAACCUUUUUCUGAUGCUGCUAAAUGGUUAUCUUGAGUAACAUAAAGGAAGCCGUAGUUUGUAGUUCAAGAAGCGUUACAUAAGCCUGGACCUGUUUCUGAUUUUUCUGCCUGUUUUUGGACUGCCUCUCUGUGUACCGGUUUUUGGAUUCCCGUUUUGACCAUUGAGUCUGUUCCUGCACUAACCAGUUCUGUUUAUUAAAACCUGGUUAUUCCAUGUACCUUGCUUGUUUUUGGCUGAUAUAUAAAUAAAAGAGCUGGACGUUAUAGAAAAAAAGCUUAGCGAUUAAAAAAAA